rnacentral:rRNA from 1 species
AUCCCCUGCCCUAUGAUUAAUUAAAUGGCUGCAGUAUCUUGACUGUGCAAAGGUAGCAUAGUAAUUAGUCUUUUAAUUGGAGUCUUGUAUGAAUGGGUUAAUGAGAUAUUUAUUUUAUUAUUAAUAUUUUUUGAAUUUAAUAUGUGGGUAAAAAAGCUUGCUUAUUUUUUUGGGACGAUAAGACCCUAUAGAACUUUAUUUUUAAUUUUAUUUAUUAUAAUUUUAGUUUAAAGUUUAUUUAAUUUUAUUAAAAAUUUAGUUGGGGUGAUUAAUAAAUUUUAACUUUAUUUUAAUUUUUCAUUUAUUUAUGUUUUUUUGAUCCUUUAUUAAUGAUUCUAAGAACAAGUUACCUUAGGGAUAACAGCGUAAUUUUAAUGGGGAGUUCAUAUCUAUAUUAAAGUUUGCGACCUCGAUGUUGAAUUAAGAUUAUAUUAGGGGGUAG